rnacentral:rRNA from 1 species
UAUUGGUCAAUGGGCGGGAGCCUGAACCAGCCAAGCCGCGUGAGGGAAGAAGGUACAGCGUAUCGUAAACCUCUUUUGUCAGGGAACAAAGGCGGGGACUAGUCCCCGGAUGAGGGUACCUGAAGAAAAAGCAUCGGCUAACUCCGUGCCAGCAGCCGCGGUAAUACGGAGGAUGCGAGCGUUAUCCGGAUUUAUUGGGUUUAAAGGGUGCGUAGGCGGGCUUUUAAGUCAGCGGUAAAAAUUCGGGGCUCAACCCCGUCCGGCCGUUGAAACUGGGGGCCUUGAGUGGGCGAGAAGAAGGCGGAAUGUGUGGUGUAGCGGUGAAAUGCAUAGAUAUCACGCAGAACCCCGAUUGCGAAGGCAGCCUUCCGGCGCCCUACUGACGCUGAGGCACGAAAGUGCGGGGAUCGA